AAGAGAAGUCAAGGACAAAAAGAACUGCUAAUUCUUUCAAGCCAGGGUUCGAAUCCCUGGUUCACUUAA
rnacentral:tRNA from 1 species